rnacentral:sRNA from 1 species
AAGUGAGCUUCAGGCCAGAGAAGCCACAAAAGGGCCAGCUGCGGGCCGUCCAGCGGCUGUGCCACUUCUACAGUGCCGUCAUGCCCAGCGAGGCCCAGUGUGUCAUCUACCAUGAGCUCCAGCUCUCCCUGGCCUGCAAGGUGGCCGACAAGGUGCUGGAGGGGCAGCUCCUGGAGACCAUCAGCCAGUUCUACCUGUCCCUGGGCACUGAGCGAAGACAGAGCCAGUCGUAUCACCUGCUUCCCUGGGGCAGGGUUUCAAGGUCUCACGUCCCACCUGUGGCCCACUUGGCUCCCCUGGAGCAUCCUGACCUGGUGGGGUAACCACGGCCCUGGCCACCCCACCCACAGGGCCCAGUGACAUUGCUGCAGUCACACCCCUUCGACUCACCGAGAGAGCAGGGAAGGAACCAGAUUCCACAGGGACCCAGGAGAUUGGCUCCAGUCUUGGCCUCAGGUUCACAGCAGGAAAAUGGGCCAGUGUGUUAGAGCCAUGUUUCUCAAACUGUGGUCCCUGGACCAGCAGAGCAGCAUCCAUGU